UUGUUUAAAUUUAAAAUAUUUUUCUUUUGUAAGAAUGAAGAACAACUGAAACAAUGUGUGGAGGAUCUGCAAGGAAAACUUAAAAAAGCAGAAGGAAAAUUACAGGCCAUCAGAUCCCAGGCUGAAGAAAAAUUAGAUAAAGCUAAUGAGGACAUUGAGAAAAUCAAGAAGUCUACUAAGCAGGAUAUAAUUCGCUUGGAGGCAGCACUAAAGAAAGCUGAAUUGCGUACAUCAAAUCUAGAAGAAAGUCUUCAAAGAAAAG
rnacentral:sRNA from 1 species